rnacentral:lncRNA from 1 species
UUUCAUAUUAAUAUAUUAUGUUUCCCUCGUACAAAACGAGUUUUAAAUACUCUUUUACUUUUUCUGCUUUUUUAGAUAAACUGACACAAGAGUUUGGUACCUUCUCAAACAGGCAUAAUUUCAAUCUAAUUAAUUGUAUCUGAGAUUUUUUUUACCAGAUUUUUUUACUAACAGGGAGCCCUCACUUUUUGCCGUAGCAAAACUGUUGGAAACAGGUCUUGUAAAUCUGAACAGGGUAGAAGUUCUUUUGUGUCCUGUAACAAAUCACCUGCUGGAAGUCAUCAUCCACCCGCUUAACUGCAUGAGAGAAUGGGGAAUAUAGGUCAUUACUACGUUAGUUAGAUCAGCAAUUCAAUAUGAAUAUUCCACCUCUUUAAAAGCAAACCAGAGAUUGCAGACGUUAAUAUCGCCAUUAAAUGAGCUGUCUAGUACCAGUUUGGCAGACGUGCGGCAAAAGUAAGUUAAUUGUGUGCUCCAUUUGCUGCACAGCUCUGGUGACAUAAUCUCUUUUGGAUGGCCCUUGUUUCUUAAUAUCAUAGGAGCUAUCAACAAUUCUCAAGGAGAAAAUUCAGUACGCUCCGCGUUCCAGUGUUUACAGUUGGUGGUAAGGGAUUAUCUCCCUGUUUUACCAUGGAAAUGCCUGCCUUCAGCAGUCGAAACGACCGGAAAAUUUGGAUCACAAACACAAGAUCUCAACGUUUCUCUCACAGCAAUUGGUCUCAUGGUAUAAUUUCGGUUAUAUUAAUUAUAUUUUUGGAGUGCCUAGAAGAAUAGUUGCAGGUACACGUCGGCUUUUUUGCUGUUUUGGAUAAAGAGACACCUUUAUCUAAAAAAUGUUGGUACCUUCUCAAACAGGUAUAAUUUUGAUUAUAUUAAUUGUAUUUAUCAUGUUAUAUCAAUUACUUUAUCACAUUAUUUUACUUUUAUUUAGUAAAUCGUCUUUAAAAUAACUGAAACAAUUUAUAUAAUUUAAUUUGUGUUGUAGACAGUAAAUGAUGCACUUUCAUUUCCAUAAAUCAAUUGUAACCAUUUUACUUUAAUUUUACUAUUUUUUAUUGCAUGGCAGCGAUGUAUAAAGUUUUUAUGACUCAAUUUUUAAUUUGAGCAACAUUUAAAAUACAUUGUUUCUGUUUGCCUAUCGUAU